AGAUCCCACGGAAAUAUAGGAUCCUUUACUAAUCAAGUGUCAUCUGCAGUGUUACAAAAGAAUAUUGGAUUUAUAUCAAUAAGAAAAAAGAACUACCAGAAGGAGACGGUAAAGGGGAACGGACAUAUCACACCAUAAGACAUGCUUCAAUAUCUGAAUAUACAGAGGAUACAGAAUGAAUUUUGCUCACUGCAGAUCCUUGUGAAAGAACACCUUUGUUGUAUUGACAUUAAAACAAAGGAAUUGUCAGGAUUCUUGAACAUAACACAACUGGCUGCAUACGAUGGCAAUUAAAAAAUGCAUACAUGUUUACAUUGAUCUUUGUUAGCCAAUAAGACAAAAAGCAAAAUAGCAAGUUUAUCCUAUUACCAUACAUGUACUGAAUGUAUUCACUUUAUUUUGUUGAACUACAUCAUGAGUUUAAAAAUUGUACAGUAUCAUAUACAGUUUAUGGUGGGAUUCUUCUAACUUUUAUGAAUCUGUUUGCAAAAUCUAUACUUUAAAGUUACAAAUUAUUACCUCUGAUACAUUGUAUGUUUUCUUAGUAAAUUAUUACAGUAUUUUUGUAUGUAUGGAAUGAUAACCGAAUCACUCUCCAUUUUCCCACACUUUUACCAUGUGAUGCUUCAGUGUAUUGAUAUCUAACAACUGAUGACCAGGCAGUCCUCAUUUAACAGUGUAAUUAUAAUACAUAACACAUUUUUAUCUAAAUAUUUUUAAAACAAGGAUAACAUGCCAUGGAUUGAUUCUGCAUACAAAACUUCAUAAUCACUGAGUUUUCUUAUUCAUGUUGUACAUGUAUUUGGAAUAAAAAAGGAAUUGUUAAAAGAAAAGUGAAUUUAAUUCUAUUGUUGUCAAAGGAAGAUAAUAAGACCAGUUUAUUUAUUUACAGAAUUGGUCAAAAGAUAUUGUCAUUGAUAAUUCAUCCAAGAAUCAUAUGUAUAAUAAAUCUACAAAGUCAGUUUGAACGAUAUAAAGGAAAGUUCUUGUUUUUUUUAAUGUAAGUGCAAAAAGGUCAACCAGGUCACCAUGUGUCCAGGUGUACACGUAUAAAUUGUUUUCUGUGGUAUAGAAUGUAAUUUAGAAGAAUAUUACAAAGAAUUUACCUAUUUUCUUUGAAAUAUUUUGAUUAAUUCUAUCUAUCAAAGUCAAAUUGAACGAUAUAAGGGAAAGUUCUUAUCUUUUUCAAUGUAAGUGCGAAAAGGUCAACCAGGGCAACAUGUGUCUAGGUGUACAUGUAUAAAUUGUUUUUGUGAUAUAAAAUGUAAUUUAGAAGAAUAUUACAAAGAAUUUACUCAUUUUCUGUGAAAUAUUUUGAUAAAUUCUUGAUAAUCUCUCUUAGUCACCAUAUUCUUCAAAAGUGCAUCCUUCUAAAGGAAGGGGGUAGGGUAGGGUGUAAGAUAAUAAACUUGUUCCAGGAUGAA